rnacentral:rRNA from 1 species
UACGUAGGGUGCAAGCGUUGUCCGGAAUUAUUGGGCGUAAAGAGCUCGUAGGCGGUUUGUCGCGUCUGCUGUGAAAACUGGAGGCUCAACCUCCAGCCUGCAGUGGGUACGGGCAGACUAGAGUGCGGUAGGGGAGAUUGGAAUUCCUGGUGUAGCGGUGGAAUGCGCAGAUAUCAGGAGGAACACCGGUGGCGAAGGCGGGUCUCUGGGCCGUAACUGACGCUGAGGAGCGAAAGCAUGGGGAGCGAACAGG